GUAAUAGCUCACUGGUCGAGUCGGCCUGCGCGGAAGAUGUAACGGGGCUAAACCAUGCACCGAAGCUGCGGCAGCGACACUAUGUGUUGUUGGGUAGGGGAGCGUUCUGUAAGCCUGCGAAGGUGUACUGUGAGGUAUGCUGGAGGUAUCAGAAGUGCGAAUGCUGACAUAAGUAACGAUAAAGCGGGUGAAAAGCCCGCUCGCCGGAAGAC
rnacentral:rRNA from 1 species